UACGUGGGGGCCGAGCGUUGUCCGGAGUUAUUGGGCGUAAAGCGCGCGCAGGCGGCCUCGCGCGCCCGACGUGAAAGCCCCCGGCUCAACUGGGGAGGGUCACGCGAUACUGCUCGACUCGAAGGCAGGAGAGGGAAGUGGAAUUCCCGGUGUAGUGGUGAAAUGCGUAGAUAUCGGGAGGAACACCAGUGGCGAAGGCGACUUCCUGGCCUGUUCUUGACGCUGAGGCGCGAAAGCUAGGGUAGCAAACGGG
rnacentral:rRNA from 1 species